ACCAGCAGCUGCCGGGCCGGCAGGCUCUACCGCAGCAGGGGUGGGGCCGAGGGGGAGGAAGAGGGAGAGGAGGAGCCAGAGGAGGCGUCUGCUGCAAGUUCCUGGCUGCUUCCGAGCUCACCCCAUCCUCCGAAAGGGAGGAGGCCCAAGUGGUGAUGCUGCUGCUGUGGCCGCCGCCGCCGCCUCGACUGCUGAUACUCUAGUGGCGCUGGAAGGGUGGUUCCUAUUCGCACCGUCGCCAACCAGAGAAGGAGGGGGAAAAAAUCCCAGCAGCCGCUGCUGAUGUUGGCUUCGGAGGCUGCAUCCGACUUGGUCACAAGGAAAAUGGAUUCAGUUUGCAUCUCUGUCUCCUUUAAACAGCUUCUCCGGGUCUCAGCAUGGGCUUCCAGGGCAGCGGUUGAGGAGGCCUUACCAAGGAGCACCACGCAGUAGAUGCGGAGACGUCGCCCUCCAGGAUAAGAAACAGUAACAUGGCAGCACCUGUCUAAAAGGAAUUAAAAACCAACAGACUUCCGUUUAGAAAGGAACAAUGUCCAAGAAAGGGCGAAAUAAGGGCGAGAAGCCCGAGGCACUCAUUGUCGCCCUUCAAGCUGCCAAUGAAGACCUCAGGACCAAGCUCACGGACAUUCAGAUAGAGCUGCACCAGGAGAAGUCCAAGGUAUCGAAGCUCGAGAGAGAGAAGACUCAAGAAGUGAAGAGGAUCCGGGAGCUGGAGCAGCGCAAGCACACAGUCCUGGUGACGGAGCUCAAAUCCAAGCUCCACGAGGAGAAGAUGAAGGAGCUGCAGGCCGUGAGGGAGAAUCUCAUCAAGCAGCACGAGCAAGAGAUGUCGAGGACAGUGAAGGUGCGGGACGGAGAGAUCCAGAGGCUCAAGUCGGCUCUCUGUGCUCUGCGGGACGGCAGCAGCGACAAAGUAAGGACAGCGCUCACCAUCGAGGCCCGGGAGGAGGCCAGGAAACUGUUUGACGCAGAGCGCCUUAAGCUCUUACAGGAGAUCACGGACCUGAAAACGGCCAAGAAGCAGGUGGACGAGGCUCUGAGCAACAUGAUCCAAGCGGACAAAAUCAAGGCUGGGGACCUCAGGAGUGAGCAUCAGUCCCACCAAGAAGCCAUCUCGAAGAUCAAGUGGGAGUCGGAGCGGGACAUCCGGAGGCUGAUGGAUGAAAUCAAAGCCAAGGACAGGAUCAUCUUUUCCCUGGAAAAGGAACUGGAGACGCAAACAGGCUAUGUACAGAAACUCCAGCUGCAGAAGGAGGCUUUGGACGAACAGCUCUUUCUGGUCAAGGAGGCCGAGUGUAACAUGAGCAGUCCAAAACGAGAAAUUCCAGGAAGGGCAGGAGAUGGCUCCGAACACUGCAGCAGUCCUGAUUUGCGGAGAAAUCAGAAGAGAAUAGCUGAACUGAAUGCCACUAUAAGAAAAUUGGAAGACAGGAACACCUUGCUUGGAGAUGAACGAAAUGAAUUGUUAAAACGCGUGCGGGAAACCGAAAAACAAUGUAAACCUCUCCUGGAAAGGAACAAGUGCCUCGCCAAGAGAAACGAUGAGCUGAUGGUGUCCUUGCAGCGCAUGGAAGAAAAACUAAAAGCCGUUACCAAGGAAAAUUUGGAAAUGAGAGAAAAAAUAACAUCCCAUCCACCUCUGAAGAAAUUAAAAUCUCUGAAUGAUCUCGACCAAGCUAAUGAAGAGCAAGAAACAGAGUUUCUAAAACUUCAGGUCAUUGAGCAACAGAACAUUAUUGAUGAGCUCACAAGGGAUCGGGAAAAGCUCAUCCGUAGAAGAAGGCAUAGAAGAAGUUCCAAGCCAAUUAAGAGGCCUGUUUUGGACCCAUUUAUUGGCUAUGAUGAGGACUCCAUGGAUUCAGAGACAUCAUCCAUGGCCUCAUUUAGAACAGACAGAACACCAGCUACUCCUGACGAUGACUUGGAUGAAAGUUUAGCAGCUGAAGAAUCUGAGCUAAGAUUUCGGCAAUUAACGAAAGAAUACCAGGCCCUCCAAAGAGCUUACGCGCUCCUGCAGGAGCAGACGGGAGGCAUCAUCGAUGCAGAACGAGAAGCCAAGGCUCAAGAACAGCUCCAAGCAGAGGUGCUGAGGUAUAAAGCCAAAAUCGAAGAUCUGGAAGCGACUCUGGCUCAGAAAGGGCAGGAUUCACACUGGGUAGAAGAUAAGCAACUUUUCAUUAAGAGAAACCAGGAGCUUUUAGAAAAGAUAGAAAAACAGGAGGCAGAAAACCACCGGUUACAACAGGAACUACAAGACGCCAGAGACCAGAAUGAGCUGCUGGAGUUUCGAAAUCUAGAGCUAGAAGAAAGAGAGAGACGAUCCCCUCCAUUUAAUCUCCAAAUUCACCCAUUCUCAGAUGGUGUGAGUGCUCUACAGAUCUACUGUAUGAAAGAAGGUGUCAAGGAUGUGAACAUCCCUGACCUCAUAAAGCAGCUUGAUAUCUUGGGUGAUAAUGGGAAUUUAAGAAAUGAAGAACAAGUGGCCAUAAUUCAGGCCAGCACCGUGUUGUCCCUGGCAGAGAAGUGGAUCCAGCAAAUCGAAGGGGCAGAGGCUGCCUUGCACCAGAAAAUGAUGGAAUUGGAAAGUGACAUGGAACAGUUCUGCAAAAUAAAAGGCUACCUGGAGGAAGAACUAGACUACAGAAAACAAGCUCUUGACCAAGCGUAUAUGAGAAUCCAGGAACUAGAAGCUACUUUGUACAAUGCUCUGCAGCAAGAAACCGUUAUCAAGUUUGGCGAAUUAUUAAGUGAAAAACAGCAAGAGGAGCUGAGGACGGCAGUAGAAAAGUUACGGCGGCAAAUGCUGAGGAAGAGCAGAGAGUAUGACUGUCAGAUCCUUCAGGAGAGAAUGGAGCUCUUACAGCAAGCCCACCAGAGAAUCCGUGACUUAGAAGAUAAAACAGAUAUCCAGAAAAGACAGAUAAAGGAUUUAGAAGAAAAGUUUCUGUUUCUAUUCUUGUUCUUCUCUCUUGCCUUUAUUCUAUGGCCUUGAUGUCAAGGUGCCUCUUAAAGACUAGCAACUAUCCAUUAUCUGGCAAGAAGGGUGACAACCAGGCAGCACACACUGAAGAGGACUGAAUCUCUUAAAUUGAAUAAGAAAUUAUAAUGAAAUGAGAUUCUCUAGUAAAGGAUAAAAAUGGCCAAAUAUCAGAAAACAAACAGACUUCACCCCCCCCCAAAAAAAAAUACAUAAGCAGGGUAAAUAAAGUUCAGUAACAGUAAUACAUGUGGUUUAGGGAAGAAAAAUCAAACAUCAUAAAUACUAGCUAGAAAAUGAGAAGAUUUCAACAUUAACAUCAAUAAUGGCUGAAACUUAUUAUAUGCCAGGAGCUGUUCGUACAUUUAAUCCUCGCAAAACCCCCCAUGAGGCAGGUACUGCAAUUAUUCCUAUUUUACAUUUGGAGAAACUGCAGCAUGUGACUUUCCCAAGACCAUACGGCUACAAUCGGCAGGGCUAGGAUGUGUGUCCAGCCUCAUUUCAGAGUCUACCUUAACUACCGUCCUGCCUCACAGACAAAAGAGGGCAUUUCUCCCAUAUUUCGAGCAACAUUGAUGUCCGCAGGUAUCAACAACCAGAGUCCUCUUCUACUAUUUGUGUGGUAUUACUUCAAAACUACUGGCUUUUGAAAUUACAAUGCGCUCAUCUAUAUACCUUUUCCCAUUUGGUGUAACUCCAUGAGGGAUAUAUGAGAUUUGAUUUAUUUUUCCUCGAAAGCAGCACAUAAUUGACAUUUAGUAAUUGUCUAUUAAAUGAAAGACUAUCAUGAUAUUUUGAAGUAAUACAGCAAGUUAAUAUGGUAAUGAAUCUGGGCAGUAUAAAAUAUAUACCAGAAAAUGGCUGAGUAGUUUAGAACACACAACUUUGAAGUUAAAUAUACUCUUAUGCUUGAAUCCUGCCAUUUACUAGCAGUGUAAUGGUAGGCAAUUUAUUUAACCUACCUGAGGUUAGGUUUCCUAUUCUAUAAAAUGGUUAUAAUUAUGUUAUUAAAUAUUUACAGUAUGGUGUUGCAUUGAGAGAAUUUUAAUGCAUGUAAAAGAUAUCACAUUGCCUAGAAAUUUGUUAAAUAAUCAACAACUCUUAGCUAUUAUUAUAAAAAGUUAGCUAACACAUUUACUGAGUCUGAAAAUAUAUAAAUUCAAAAUUAUAACAUCCUGUACUGCCAAGCAGUUUACAGCCUACAUCCAAACAAGUUGUUGCUUUUUGAUCUCCUCUUUCCAGGGAAUAAUCUGGAUUUAAAUAAUAUAAGGGAAUACCACAUUACCAAAAACGGAUAAAUGCUGCUUAUGUCUAUAAAGUAGACAUGAGAGAGAUAGGAAUAAGUAAGGAAGAAAAGUUUCUGGCUUGUUGGCGGUAGUAAAAGCAUGCUGCAAAUAACUAUAAAAAAUUUUUCUAUACUAAAUUAAUGAUUUAUAUUCUGCUCAUAAACCCAAGACUAACUUAAAUUAUACAUAAAAGCACCCUCCUUAAAAUGGAGUGACUCAUACUUUUUCUUUUAGCAAUUACCUGUCAUUAUUGUCAGUGAUGAAACAGAAGCCACAAAAAGCUCCCUAGAAGGCACUCUUACUAUGCUCAGUGCUUGAUUACUAAAUCACUCAGCUGCAUGGAUUAUGUUGGGACUUUUACCUUAAACAAGGGAUCCAGGUAGUUCCAGAAGAUAUCUGCCGUGCAUUCUGUUUAUUUCAAAUAAUAGCAUACCACUAUAUUAGAGUUCUCCAGAGGGACAACCAAUAGUAUGGAUGGAUGGAUAGAUAGAUGAGAGGGGAUUUAAUAGGGGAAUUGGUUCUCAUAAUUACGGAGGCUAAGAAGUCCCACCGUAGACCAUCUGUAAGCUGGAGAACCAGAGAAGCAGGUAGCGUGGCUCAGUUCAAGUCGGAAGGCUGAGAACCAACAAAACCAAAAGUGUAACUCUCAGUCCAACGCUGAAAGCUUGAGAGCCCCAGGAGGUCAGUGAUGCAAGUUCCAGAGUCCAAAGGCCAAAGAAUCUGGAGUUCUGAUGUCUAAUCAAUUCAUUCCACCCUCAUGGCCUAAUCACCUAAUGAGGUAGAACCUCAUUAGGCUCCACCUCCAACUGUUGCAUUGGGGAUUAAGUAUCCAACAUAUGCUCUCUGCGGGACAGAUUCAAGCCUUAACACACUAAUUCUUCCACAAAAGACAAUUACCCGAGGAGACAAAGGAAAGAAGAAAAUGAGAGGAGUAGAAAAACAGCUAUCACCAGGUUAGUUGUUAUAUCCAGGUUACAAUGACCCAUUGAAAAUCCUCCUCUUCUGAGCAGGGAUGGAUUAAAGAAGAACAUGAGAGCACCAGCUUUGUUCAUUAUGAAGUUGGGAAGACCAGAGAACAGAGUAACCGAAAACACGGAUAAGACCCCAGAAAUGCAAAUGAUUUUUAAACCUUCAAAGAUGGCAAAAUUGUUUACACCAGUGAGAG